UAUAUAAUGGUGUAAAAUUAGCAUAUAAAAUUUUGAUUUUUAAGGAGUAAGUGUAAUUCUUUCUUGUAUAA
rnacentral:tRNA from 1 species